GGGCAGGUGGCAGAGUGGUCAAUUGCACGAGACUGUAAAUCUCGCGCCUUCGGGCUCCGGGGGUUCGAAUCCCUCCCUGCCCA
rnacentral:tRNA from 1 species